GACUAAAAGAGGGUGAGAAAUAGCAGCCCAGGACUGCAUUCACAGUGAGCCAUGCUGGAUAAGACAGGGAUGAAGAAACAGGGCACAGGACUGUCCCCAGGCCUGCCUUCUGGGAUGAGGGGGGGCCUCCUCCCACUGUGAGGGGCUCCUUGACUCAGGGACCUCCCACCUGGGGGAGGCUGAGUGCACUCCCCCACUUCAGCCUCCCUGGCAUAGAUGAGGCUCAUUCUCAGCUUCUCCUGGAGGGAAAGAAAAGCUCGUAAAUUGUUACCAGUUUUUCCCUCACUUUUAUGUUUCCUCUUCAUGUUUAACCUUUGAUUAUUUGAUUAAGAUCUCUAAGAGGAGCUUGUUCAGUCUAAGCUCAAUUCGCCUUCAUUAUCAUUCCUCAGAAUCCUUGAACAUAAAGGGAUCUAAACCAAACGUCUGGACAUUGAGCGCAGCCGUGCAAACAGCCUCUGGUAAUUCCAGGCAAGGAGUGAAGAUAUCCAGCAAAUGGCAAGCAGUGGAGGUCGUACCUAUUUUCUUUCUGAGAUGAUCCCCAACAGGGAGUCAGGACUAGUCCUUAAAUUAUGUUUGUUUACAAAAGUUGCUUUACCUUUUUGAGCUUAAAAGUCCAGCUGUGCACAAAAGGAGAUCACGGACCAUUGCAAUUAAAAGGGACUUUGGUGUUUACUUAGUUCUCCCCAUUGCAUCUCACAUGGUGGAAAGGGACAGCGGGAGAAGCGUAAUUCGAAAUUUCUAACAGCCUUAACAGCAUUCUGUAGCUAUUUUCCUCUAGAGAACUUAGAAGCAGUUGAAAGUACUUUUAAAUGGCUACUGUGGUCUGAUUUAUUCCUCCAGAAGGAGGACCGCAAAUGUGAGGAUGGGAACAGAAGUGAGGAAAACACACUGAAUCAAUGGACACAAAAGAAGAAUGAUUACGAAAAGCCUGCCUGAGCUUAUUCGGAUUCAUUCCACCCUAAACAAAUCCUCAAAUAGAGAAAGCACCAUCAAAUAUUGAUGAAAUAAGGGAAAAUGCCAAGUUACCCACUUCUUCUUAAAAUGUACUAAUGAACAGAUCCAGUGAUGUUUACACGUCUUAACUGCUAAUUCAAUAAACAUUAAUGAGCAUCAGCUCUGUCCUAAAUCCAUGGCGAUUAGGGUAAAAGUAAGGAUGUACAUAUGCAUGGGGAGAAGAGCAAACAUUUAUGGAGGGCUACAAUGGCACUGGGCUAAGUAUUAGCUCAUUUAACCUUAGUCAUAAGUACAAUUGUUUGCCCAUUUUAUAGGUAAGGAAACUGAAAUUUAGAACAGGGAAGUAACUCGCCCGAGAUUCCAGAGCUGGCAGGUGACUGCGUUGUGUUCCUGACCCAGGUCAGCCCUAGUUCCUAACUGAGGUGCUUUACUGACUCCCAGAAGACAAGCUCCCCUGAACUUGUAGUUGGAUAGGUGGGGCUCACGGGACAGAAUCCAUAGGAUGAGGACCCCAAGUGGGAAAGGAUAUAGUUAAAGGAGAGUCACAGGGAAGGUCAUACUAGGGCAGGAGCUAAAGAACGAGGGAGGAGGCAUCCUUUCAGAGAGAGGUGGGAAAGUGGGCUUUAGGGAUAAACAGAAGCAUCCUACCUGGCACCAUGGGAGAACCAGAUGGUGCUAGGGUCACUCCAGUCACACCCCAGCCGCUCAGCUUUGGGCCUAAAUCAGUUUCAGAAAGAGAGCAGCCUUGGUGCAGUCAGGGGGAAGAGGAAGCUCUGUAGCCCACCUGGAAAUUGCUCAUGGCCAUCACCGCUCAGGCUCUUUGUAGCUUGGUGCCCUUCAGCCUUUUCAGGUGUCUACCCCAGCUAGACACUGCCCUGGGGUAGACUAGCCUGGGGGGUUGUGGAGGGAGAGGUGCAAUUAAACAGAGCUGCCCAGAACCAGGCAUUACUGAAGACAGUGUCAAGUGAGUGUGCCUUCUCCAGGACGGCCCCCUUCCCAUAGCCCAUGGCUUUAUUCAGCCUCCGCUUGUGGAUUAGCAAAGGCUGGGUUCCACAGGUGCUAUUGAUGCCCACCCAAGGCUCUAACAGAGCUAUCUCUCUGUCCAUUUCUUUGUACUGUUUAAGAAAAGUCGUCUUGUUUAAAAGAUAAAUAUAAGAAAGUCAUGGCUAAGUCAUGGACACUAGUUAGCUGAGUCGUCCCAGGGCCCCUGGUAAUAUUAGCUCAAUUCUUAGAGAAACCUUUCUUUUCUCUCUUGAAAACUGGGUUUUCUCUUUUUCUGUUUUCUGCCCUUAAUCAUCUUUAAGCUCCCUCUUCCUUUCGUCCAAUUUUUUUCCAUCAACCUCUGGUGGCCCUCUUGUGGUCACAGGCCACCUCCAUCUGAAUUCCCUUGGAUGGCUGGAUCAAUGCAGAGCCCCGGGCUUGCUGCAGACCCACUGACACAGUCCUGCAGAGCUGGGAGUUACAUUUUAAAUAACUCUUCCAGGUCACUUUUUGCUCACUACAGGUUGAGAACCACUGUCCUGGGGACAAGGAACCUGGAAACUUUUAAUUCUCUGAUCUCAUCCUCCAUCUCCCAAGGAAACUUCUUUAGUAAAGGGAGAUGCUGAGAAGGCACAGGGACAGUCUAGGGCUUAGCCUUUCCUUGUCAUCUUGUGUUUACUUGUCUGUCUCCUCUGCUAGACUGUGUGUCUCUAGGAUGAGAAUCAUGUUCUCUUCAGUUCUCCAGAGCUGGGUCUUGGGACGAUGGGUGGGUCACCAUGGACACUCUGCAGUAUUAGUGGAAUGAAUAAAUUGUUGAUGUAACAAACCCUCCCUCCCUCUCUUCUACUCUUUCCUCCUCUCCUUUCUCUUGGGCGCCCCAUUGGCCUUGGGCAUAGAACACCAAUGUUUUAAGAGGCAGUUAAUGUUUAAAGGGACAAAAUCAGGCACAGGCCAGGCAGUGGCUGGUUGCUCAACCGACAAACAAAUCCACCUUCUUCUGUUCUUUCCUAAGCCAACAGGAAGCAGCCAGGAGACGGUCACUCACCCAGCUGGGCUCAGAUCCACCAUCCUCUCCACCCACACAGCAAUUGCGCAAUGUUGCUGCAACAACCUGAGGCUAUAAAUAGUCUAUUAAGAAGUUACACAGGAGAUUGAGCAGGCCUGAUGGGUGGCCCCCAUUUGCUCCCCUUCAGACAAGUGGAGAAAAUUUUUGUAAAGUGCCACUUACAAGAAUCCAAGCCUGGGGCAAAAUAUUCUACCUUUCCCUUGGAUUUCCGUCUGCUCCCCCUGGUUCAGACAGCUUUUUAGGGUCUCUGAUGCUUUCUGCUUAUCAUUGGCCCAUGUGGAAUUUUGUCCUGCUGAUGCAAUAAUAAUGAAGGUAAUGAUAGUAAUUUGUUAGUUGGUCUUCCUUCCUCCCCGUACCUGUGUCCCCUUUUUUUUUGUCUUAUCUCUGAUCUCUUCUGCCUGGACAGUGUCAUGUUUUCCACACCAAUUCAUGCCUCCCUCUCUUCAGUCUACAAGGUCAAUUCCAUGCAUUUGCUUUUCUCAUGAUUUUUCUUCAGAAUUUUUCGAUGACUUCUCAUUGCAUGAAACAGUGGCCUACAAUGUUUUCAACACAUACUACCCUUAUUCUUAACAUAUAUAUUAAUUUAUGAAUUAAAUACAUGUGCUACUGCCAGUUCAUAUAAAAUAUUAGGAAAGCUUACUUUCACUAACUUUUUACUAGCAUAAAUAUAAAUAGGAGUGCUAAUAUUUUCUCCCUGUACUCCAAUGGAUCAUUUUGAAUACCUCACAGUGGCCCACUGAGGAUGACUGACAUUGAAUCAUUCUGCUGGGUCACCAAAGCCUUCUAGGACCUGGUUCCAGGUCAUUCAUUCAUUCACUCAGCAUUUCUUAGUAAUUGCUGUAGCCAGGCCUGGGGCAAGGCUCAGGGGGUAAUAAUAAGUAGUCACAGCCCCAGUAGAUCAGGAGCUUACAUGUGAGUGGAGGAGGUAAACACAUAAGUAAAUAACUCUUGGAGAGACACAUGGGAGUCAUAAGAUGUUUUGACAAACUAAAUUCUCCUUUAAAUGUGUUUUUACCAGUCUUCCCCAGAGGAAUGGUGGAAUAUGAAGAGAAAGAAUAAAAUCAGCUGUUCAGGUCUAAUGGGAAGAGAAUAUCAAAAUGGUCAAAUCCUCAUUGCUCUUGGGCUUUGAGACUACUCUCAUAGUUCCUUGAUCAAAGAGUUAAAAAACAAAACAAAACAAAGCAAAACAAAGUGGUCAGCUUUGCUCCACUUCCAAGUAAUGCUGCCAAAGCUGGAUAUGCCAUCAAGCAAUUUGACCUCAAAAACGGCACCUGAACCACAGCCAUAGGUUGAGCAAAGCCCACGUAUCACCAUCAUAUUUUCUUAGGGCAGGUCUGCACACCGUCCCUCCCCGAACAUGCACCCUUAGAUAUCUGCCCCUUCUCAGGGUGCUUGAAGCUGAUGGCCUGGGAUACUAAGAAGGAGCUACAGCAAGGGCCACAGCCCCCAGACAGCAGGAUGUACCUCUCCCCAAAGUCUAAAGGCAAGUUCAAGAAUGUCCAGUGUUAGGACUCACCCUCCAUAUCUGGGAUCAGUGAUUAUUGGGAAGGCUUCCUAAUGACAUGCAGGCAUGUUCCUUGUAGACUCUCAGGAGUCAAUCAACCCAAACUUUACUACAAGCCAAAGUUUUGAAAUACAACACAGUGACAGAUGGAUGUAGUAUAAAAGAAACUGAAAAUGGAGAGUAAGAACUUUUCAUUUCUUUGUCUCCAUAGUUUUCUGGAUGGGAGACACUUGCCAUCUACCUUUCAUCUUUAUUAUGCUUUUGUUAAGAAAUUGAUAUUUGGGAGUUCCUGUCAUGGCACAGUGGGAAAGGAAUCCAACUAGGAACCAUGAGGUUGCGGGUUCGAUCCCUGGCCUUGCUCAGUGGGUUAAGGAUCUGACAUUGCCGUGAGCUGUGGUAUAGGUCGCAGAUGUGGCUCAGAUCUGGCAUUGCUGUGGCUGUUGUGUAGGCUAGCAGCUACAGCUCUGAUUAGACCCCUAGCCUGGGAACCUCCAUAUGCUGC
rnacentral:lncRNA from 1 species